rnacentral:tRNA from 1 species
UGGGUAGAUGGCGAAAUUGGUAAACGCAUCAAAUUCAAAAUUUGACGACGAGAGUCAUGUGGGUUCAACUCCCACUCUACCUAA